UUCCAAUCGAACUGUGUUCACAAAUUGAAAUUAUAUUUUUUUGCAAAUUUUGAACAAAAUGACCAUUUUUGGCCUAGUUAUACCGAAAAUACCAAUCGUGAAUAUUGAACGUUUGCCAACAAUUGACACUGAUCGACACAAUCGACACUGAGCGCAUGUUAGAUUUCAAGUUGGACUUGUACGCUUGUUGCCAUUUCAAUUGGACAAAUAAAUUGCUGAAUGCAAUACAUCGACGUGGAAUUGGAUUGCAAACGCAUUGAAAAGUAGCCUCAUUAAUUUUGUUCGGUGUGGAGAUCGCAGGCCGAUUUAUCAUUUAAGGAUGACGGGCCCUUAAACAAUUGUAGUCUAUGGCUUGAUUGGCAUUCUGGUCCUCGUUUUUGUGAUUAUUUCUAUGGUCUUAAUCGUUGGAUUAUAUAUUCACGAUCCAAAUCGUAUAACCACAAAUGAGACGACGACUGAGGAAACCUGGAAAUCCACUCAAUGGAGUCUAUUGUUCAAAUUUGU